rnacentral:piRNA from 1 species
CCACUGACAGAUCUUGGCAGCCUUGCAGC